UGUUCAAACCAUUAAUCUAUUUCUAAUCAAUGAGUUAAUUGUUAUCUGCACAUAAGGAGUAAAGGCAGCCAUGUAGGAAAGGACUGCAUGGUGGAGUGAAGCUGACCAAUGUAGAAAAAGACCGCAUUGUGUUUAUCGGCCUGAGCAACAAAAUCGAAUUAGAAUAUUCUCAGAUAUUAUUGCUACAGUAGUCUAACCGCAGAGUAAUGAGACUUAGUGUGGAGAAUGAUUUGGGAUUCUUCGCGAAAGGAAUGAUUGUUGACUAAUGUGUGUUUAUGCGCAAUUAUAUGUUUAUAUGAAAAGGUGAUCAAGCGUUAAGGCCAAGUAAGGAAGGGCGAAAGGCUUGCUAGGCGAGAAGAGUUGCUAGGCAUUUAGAUCUUAAGUUUAAGUAUUGAUCAUGUAUUUUGGCUAAGUAUUGUAAAGUGUUGUAAUGGCGUGACUUAACUUAUUAAAAGGAAUAUUUACAUCUUAUUCUUUGUGUUAA